rnacentral:rRNA from 1 species
UACAGAGGUGGCAAGCGUUGUUCGGAAUUACUGGGCGUAAAGGGCGCGUAGGCGGCCCGCUAAGUCGAACGUGAAAUCCCCCGAGCUCAACUCGGGAACUGCGUCCGAUACUGGCGGGCUUGAAUCCGGGAGAGGGAUGCGGAAUUCCAGGUGUAGCGGUGAAAUGCGUAGAUAUCUGGAGGAACACCGGUGGCGAAGGCGGCAUCCUGGACCGGCAUUGACGCUGAGGCGCGAAAGCUAGGGGAGCAAACGGG